AUUGAACGCUGGCGGCAGGCCUAACACAUGCAAGUCGAGCGGGAACUUCGGUUCUAGCGGCAGACGGGUGAGUAAUGCGUAGGAAGCUACCCGACAGAGGGGAAUACCAGUUGGAAACGACUGUUAAUACCGCAUAAUGUCUACGGACCAAAGUGUGGGACCUUCGGGCCACAUGCUGUCGGAUGCGCCUACGUGGGAGUAGCUAGUUGGUGAGGUAAUGGCUCACCAAGGCGACGAUCCCUAGCUGGUUUGAGAGGAUGAUCAGCCACACUGGAACUGAGACACGGUCCAGACUCCUACGGGAGGCAGCAGUGGGGAAUAUUGGACAAUGGGCGCAAGCCUGAUCCGGCCAUGCCGCGUGUGUGAAGAAGGCCUUCGGGUUGUAAAGCACUUUCAGUAGGGAGGAAGAGUUGAGUGUUAAUAGUACUCAGCUUUGACGUUACCUACAGAAGAAGCACCGGCUAACUCUGUGCCAGCCGCCGCUGUAACAC
rnacentral:rRNA from 1 species